AUGGCCUAUCUAGAAAAGGAACAGUACAAAGAAUCCAAUAUACAUGGAUGUGCCUGGGUUUUUUGGUGGGUUUUUUUUUCUUUGAAGAUAUUGCAAAGUCUGUCCCCCUACGAAUGCAACACAGUAGCUGAGCACUACAUGCUUCAUAUGUUUUUUUUAAUGAAAGCAUCAGUACUUGAGACGUUGACUGCAUACACCCAGGGAAGCACCUCCAUACCAAGACACAGAGAAUGUUUGAUAUUGAAAGAAGAACAAACAAGUAAAAGAUGCACAGAAUAUCUGCCAAAGGGAAGUUACAGAUAUACAUUGGAGACAAUUAAAUACCCUUCCUCCCCUAAAAUAUGAGGCACAUACCCUAUAUUAAAAGACAUCAUAUCUACUGUGAGUUUAAUUGGCCACACAGCAGAGUAGCAACGAACAAGGCUGAAGACAUAGAAGCUAUAUUUUAGAUUCUUCACUAGCAAAACCAGCCUGCAGUUGGAAUUCACCGAGAAUGGAGGCAGGUGUCCAGGCUUGUGGGUUAAUGAACACAUCUUGAAAAGAGGAUAGAUGUGUUUAUCUUAACUUNCGUCCAGGCUUGUGGGCUAAUGAAUGAACACAUCUUGAAAAGAGGAUAGAUGUGAUUAUCUUAACUUGGUGAAAGAAGAAACUAUGGCCUCAAUCUGGCAAUCGCUAUUAGCCAGGAUGGACAGGGAUGCAAAACCAUGCAAAAUAACGCAAUAGUAGUGGAUGGGCCCUUGUGCAUGUACAAGGCCUGAACUGGGCUCUGCACAGCAGAGGAAUCUGCCCAAACUGACAGAGCUUUUGACUGUGUCUGCACUGGUAGACUACAAGAAAACUGAGUAAAAGCCUUGAGAGACAAGGCUAUGACAAG
rnacentral:lncRNA from 1 species